UGGCCAUGGGAGAGACUUGGCAACAGUAAGUAUAUGACUGCAGAAGGUAUCUAUUGUGGUUUCAUUUUUAUCUUCAGCGUAGGUUGCAAUCAUUGCUGUUGUUCUGUUAUAUACCUCUGUGAGUUUACCACAGGCAACAGCCUUACCAUCAAAAAGGAAAUAUCCGACAGACUGAUGUUGGUGAACAGACAGCAGGAGUAUCCUGGAGCAGGAGAUGAAGAGUAGCGGGAACACUGAAGGCACUGUCCCUACAGCUGCAAGAUCAGAUACUCUGCUCAGCCCAGCAUUCAGCCCAACCUGAGACUCGGCAGGUGAAUGGCCUCGUGGGAACGGUUUUCUAUUUUCCAGAAAGGGUGUUGAACUCUGGCAGUUUACUUUAUGGAGACCUUGGCAAUAUUGCACAGGUGCACCCUGGUAAACAAAGUAAUACCAACCUUGAGAAGAGAUUUAAAAACCACCUUCACUGGAACAAUGUUACUGGAGUCUUCACUUUGUCAGACCUACAAAUAGACGAUUCUGGGGUUUAUACUGUGGAGAAUACAGAUAAAGGGAAGACGAAACAUAUAUUUCAGCUGACUGUGUACUAUGUUCUGUCCAAACCUCAGGUGACGGUCCAUGAUAACAUCUCCUGUAGCAUGGUGUGUUCUGUGGAGAACGGGAGAGAGGUGACCCUGUCCUGGUACAAAGGAGGGGAGAUACUCAACCAGACCAGCAGCCCUGACCACAACAUCACCCUCUCUAUACCUCUCAAGGUGGAUGAACAGAACAGAGACUCUUACAGAUGUGAGGCUGCCAACCCAGUCAGCAAGGAGACAGCUGUUGUUCCACAUUCCUGUAGAGAGAGUGAUCCCUCUCAAGGUGACAGAUGGUGAUGAGAGGACUCGAGAUUGUCUUAUUAUUGCUGUAAUCUGUGUUCUGGUUGCCUCAGGACUUGUUGGUCUUGCAAUAUAUCUGAAGAAGAGGAGAAACGGAUACUCACAUGCAGAUUCACCUGAAAGAGAGCAAGAUGACGUUCAGUAUGCAGAGAUAACUCACAUUAAACCAGCAGAAAACCAGGAGGAUCGAACAGGUAUACAAGGACUGGAGUCACUUAGAGACAACCCUAACCUGACAGUUUAUUAUACACUCCAGGUACAUCACAUGGCUGCCAGCGAGGAUGUUGACACUGCAUGAAGUUCCUGAGAGGGUGACAUGAUAAUUCACAUCCCAGAGAAGGCGUUACAUCCUGAAGAGGACGUUAAAGACAAAAUUAUAGUCAAUAUUCAUUUUAGAAAACUUCAUGGAGACACAGUUGUUCCUGGAGACAAUUCCCAUUUAACCAAUGCGCUGUUGUCAUUUCAGUCAUUUCAGAUUUCCUUUGUUGGUCAUCAUCACUGUCUUUUGUUGAAUUGAGCCUUGAUGAGAUUAAAUUCAAUAGCUAUGCCUAGGGUUAUUAGUAGGGUGAUCCCUCUUUUCAAGUGCCCAUUGUCCCAAUGUAUAGGUUAAAACAACUGGAACCUCUUUUAAUACAUUUCACUAGUGUGUUUUCCAUGCUUUGCUGGUCAGAAGCUUCUUUUCAGUUCUGUCUGUUCUGUUGUUUAAAUGUAGGUGCCUCCCCUGUAUCGUUUUAUAGCUGGCCAUUGUUUAGCUUGCCAGUGGAUAGCUGCUGUGUACAUAAAAAGCAGAUGUUUGGUGAGAUAAAGCCACCUACCUACUCCUCAGCAUAAUGGCUAUUAGACUACGUUGGAAACCACCAUAUAGAUUCUGUUGAAACACUUCUGAGUGGUAGAUCUUGAUUUGCCUUUUGACUCAGAAAGUGUUCUUGGUUGACAUUUUACUCUCACAAAAUGCAAUCGUGAUUAAGUGUUGUUCAGAUCUUGCUUUGACAACAACUGUGUUCACACAGUUUGAAUGUACCAGAGUCACAGUUUAGUUUAUUAUGAUGGACCACUUAUUGCUUGUCCUUAUCUACACAGUAUUUAGCUCAACGGGUUAAACAUUAAUCAGCAAUAAGGUUCCAACCGGAGAAUUUCAUUGUCUGAAGAAAAGCACAGGAACGCAAGAACACUCUCUCGUGACAGAGCGUAGGCUUUCUGCCAGACCACCCACUCAAAGAGCUAUUAUGAGCCCCACCUUUAUAAUAGAAUCAUACAACCAGAAUCUAAAGAUGGUGACAUCUUGUGGAAGCCCUAGGAAGUGCAUGCUCAUCCAUAUCUAAGGUGGAUAUCCACUGGCACUGUUUUCUAAAUUGAGUUCUCACUUCCUGUUUGGAUUUCUUCUCAGGUGUUUGUCUGCCAUAUGGGUUCUGUUAUACUCACAGACAUAAUUCAAACAGUUUUAGAAACUUCAGAGUGUUUCCUAUCCACCAGUAAUAAUACUAUGCAUAUAUUCCCAAUUGGGAAAGAGUAGGAGGCCGUUUACUCUGGCCAUGCCUUUCAUCCAAAAGUGAAAAUGCUGCCCCCUAGCCUCAACAGGAUCUUAAGAAUACAAUCACUAGAGAUCCUGGUUGGAGUCCAGGCUCUGUCACAGCCGGCCGUGAACAGGAGUCCCAUGGUGCACAAUUGGCCCAGUGUUGUCCGGGUUAGGGGAGGGUUUGGCCGGCAGG